rnacentral:rRNA from 1 species
UACGGAGGGGGCUAGCGUUGUUCGGAAUUACUGGGCGUAAAGCGCACGUAGGCGGACCAGCAAGUUGGGGGUGAAAUCCCGGGGCUCAAACCCCCGGAACGUGCCUUCGAAAACUGCGGGUCUGGAGGUCGAGAGAGGUGAGUGGAAUUCCGGAGUGUGAGAGGUGAAAUUCGUAGAUAUUCGGAGGAACACCAGUGGCGAAGGACG